GCUCCGAAUUCGCCCUUCCUACGGGAGGCAGCAGUGGGGAAUAUUGCACAAUGGGCGAAAGCCUGAUGCAGCGACGCCGCGUGAGGGAUGACGGCCUUCGGGUUGUAAACCUCUUUCAGCAGGGAAGAAGCGCAAGUGACGGGACCUGCGGAAGAAGCACCGGCUAACUACGUGCCAGCAGCCGCGGUAAUAAGGGCGAAUUCAA
rnacentral:rRNA from 1 species